rnacentral:lncRNA from 1 species
GAAUUUAAACACAGUGAAUUUUUUUCCUCAGAGGAAGGAAUUUUAUUUUCUAAAAAGCAUUUACCUCUGACAUGUCAAUUCCUGAUUUCAGUGGCUGCAGACUUAUGUACUUCUGUGCCACCCUUAGGGCAAGUAAAGUACAUGUCAAGUAAUAAACUACUUUUAGCACAGAAAUACCAGAAGAUAUGCUCACAUCCUGUGGUGUGAGGCACGGUGGGACAAUCUCCACAUAGAGAGCAUUCUUUGCCACUGGUGGCUAAUGUAUUGUCACUAUUGGGAACACCAGUAAAAGGGAUACACCAUGAAGAUAACUGGCUUUCAACUUCUGGACAUUGAUAAGUGGUAGAGAAAAAUCGGAAAUUCAGCAAAACCAUGCCAGAGAAUGGCAUCUCUGAAUUCCCACAUGUUGUGGAAGGGACCCGGUGGGAGGUAAUUGAAUUAUGGGGGCAGGUCUUUCCCAUGUUAUUCUCAUGAUAGUGAAUGAGUCUCAUGAGAUCUAAUGGUUUUAUAAAGGGGAGUUUUCCUGUACAAGCUCUCUCUGUUUGCUUGCUGCCCUCCAUGUAAGAUGUGGCUUGCUCUUCCUUGCCUUCUGCCAUAAUUGUGAGGUUUCUCCAGCCAUGUGGAACUGUAAGUCCAUUAAACCUCUUUUUGUGUGUGUAAAUUUCCCUGUCUUGGUUGCGUCUUCAUCAGUAGUGUGAAAAUUGACUAAUACAGUAAAUUGGUACAAGUAGAGUGAGGUGCUGCUGUAAAGAUAACCAAAAAUGUUGAAGCGACUUUGGAACUGGGUAGCAGGCAGAGGUUGGAACAAUUUAGAGGGCUCAAAAGAUAGGAAGAUGUGGAAAAAUUUGGAACGCCCUAGAGACUUGUUGAGUAGCUUUGACCAAAAUGUUGAUAAUGAUAUGGACAAUGAAAUCCAGGCUGAGGUGGUCUCAGAUGAACAUUGAAAAUAAGUGAAUAAAAACACAAUAGUUUACUAAGUAGUAGGAAGAUAUGGCACAGAACUUAUGACAAAUACUAGAAGCCCAACAAUAUCUCUUCAUUACCUCAUUCUUUAA